rnacentral:sRNA from 1 species
CCGGACGCUGAUGAAGGUCCGGCGGCGGGCGCCGGCGGUGUCCGGCGCUCCUCAAACCCAUGUUGCUCAACGGAGGACUUGGACCAUGAGGA